AAAGAGUAACGGAGGAGCACGAAGGUUGGCUAAUCCUGGUCGGACAUCAGGAGGUUAGUGCAAUGGCAUAAGCCAGCUUGACUGCGAGCGUGACGGCGCGAGCAGGUGCGAAAGCAGGUCAUAGUGAUCCGGUGGUUCUGAAUGGAAGGGCCAUCGCUCAACGGAUAAAAGGUACUCCGGGGAUAACAGGCUGAUACCGCCCAAGAGUUCAUAUCGACGGCGGUGUUUGGCACCUCGAUGUCGGCUCAUCACAUCCUGGGGCUGAAGUAGGUCCCAAGGGUAUGGCUGUUCGCCAUUUAAAGUGGUACGCGAGCUGGGUUUAGAACGUCGUGAGACAGUUCGGUCCCUAUCUGCCGUGGGCGCUGGAGAAUUGAGGGGGGCUGCUCCUAGUACGAGAGGACCGGAGUGGACGCAUCACUGGUGUUCGGGUUGUCAUGCCAAUGGCACUGCCCGGUAGCUAAAUGCGGAAGAGAUAAGUGCUGAAAGCAUCUAAGCACGAAACUUGCCCCGAGAUGAGUUCUCCCUGA
rnacentral:rRNA from 2 species